rnacentral:rRNA from 1 species
UGAGGAAUAUUGCGCAAUGGGGGCAACCCUGACGCAGCGACGCCGCGUGGAUGAUGAAGGCCUUCGGGUCGUAAAAUCCUGUCAGAUGGAAAGAAUGUCCUGAGUGCUAAUAUCACUUGGGGGUGACGGUACCAUCAAAGGAAGCACCGGCUAACUCCGUGCCAGCAGCCGCGGUAAUACGGAGGGUGCAAGCGUUGUUCGGAAUUACUGGGCGUAAAGCGCGCGCAGGUGGUUGAUUAAGUCAGAUGUGAAAGCCCUCGGCUCAACCGGGGACGUGCAUUUGAUACUGGUCGACUGGAGUACUGGAGGGGGUAGUGGAAUUCCCGGUGUAGAGGUGAAAUUCGUAGAUAUCGGGAGGAAUACCGGUGGCGAAGGCGACUACCUGGCCAGAUACUGACACUGAGGCGCGAAAGCGUGGGGAGCAAACAGG